rnacentral:rRNA from 2 species
GGGUUAGUAGGCUGGUCAUGCCACAGGUAUGCACUGGUCUUACUGAUUCCUCCUUCCUGAUGAACCGUAAUGCCAUUAAUUUGGUGUUGCGGGGAGUCUGGACUGUUACUUUGAAAAAAUUAGAGUGUUUAAAGCAGGCUAACGCUUGAAUACAUUAGCAUGGAAUAACGAAAUAGGACGUUCGAUCUUAUUUUGUUGGUUUCUAGGAUUGACGUA